GAAAUGACAUGUUUUAUAUUUUCCAAAAACAUUUUUUUUUUUUUUAGCAUUUUUUUUAUUUACAUCGGAUAGAAAAAUCCUGGUCCCGGAGAACCGUAGCCCCAUUUCGUGUUCUUAACGACCUGGAAGACCAGGCGCCCAGUUGGAACGGACUACCUGCAGUACUACAGGAACAGAAUUGCCUACCCCUGUCAUACAGAGUAGUGAGGAAGAGCUGUAUGGACCAUUCUUGUCCGGAAGUCAUUUAGCCAUUCCAUUGUAGCCAACGGCGCUCUGUAGAGUUGAUAUUUUCUCGAGUUUUCUUGUGUGAAUUAACUCGUGACAUUCCUGGAUUACUCAUUUAUAUUAAUAAAGUUCUGAUUUUAAUAAACCAA